UACGGGGGGGGCAAGCGUUGUUCGGAAUUACUGGGCGUAAAGGGUUUGUAGGUGGCCCGCUAAGUCACACGUGAAAUCCCUCAGCUUAACUGGGGAACUGCGUCUGAUACUGAUUGGCUUGAGUGCAGGAGAGGAGCGCGGAAUUCCAGGUGUAGCGGUGAAAUGCGUAGAUAUCUGGAGGAACACCGGUGGCGAAGGCGGCGUUCUGGACUGCAACUGACACUGAGGAACGAAAGCCAGGGGAGCAAACGGG
rnacentral:rRNA from 1 species